UCGUUUGACGGUUUGAUCAUCGUUCCAACAUUCUGUGGACCGGCGUCGACUGGAGCGCAAGGUUUCUGAUGGCCUGAUCUUGUUGCGUUCCAUGAAAUGAAAACUGAGGUGGCUGUGAAGGAACCUCAAGAUGGAUGGAUUCAGAAGAAAAAUGAAAAAUGAGCUUGUGGAAGUCCCUGUCGCCAACUGAUGGUCGGUGUUAUUGCCCCUAGUCAGGUCUGAUGCGAUUCUUUCCUCGAUUAAGCACUCGGCACUUGGUUUUGAAGAAAUGGAUCCGGUUAGAUUCCAGGCGAAAGUAUCUUCAAGCAACCAUUACAUCUACAUGCAGCAACCAUGCUUGCGUCCGUGCAGCUUGGGUGCGCGGCGACAGGAUGUACUAACACCGGAUUUGGGGCGUGAUUACCCUGAAUAAGUCGGGCCUCCAGUGACUUGCUGCCUCGAGUCAAGGCAGAGAAAAACAAGGUACGACGAGACGUUGAGUGGUCAACAAAGCGCGACGUAGCUGCAACUUGAUCUCCGGGCCUAUCCUUAUUGUCAAGUAUGCCAUGCCUACCGAUGUUGAUACACGCCGAUGUCGAUAACGGAUAAGCCUAUGCUGCGUUCGAUCGAGUUAUCCGGUGGAGAGGAUGAAAAAACUUCUUGCAGGUAGAGCUUCCCACUUCCAAGUUCGCAGCAGAGCAGUUUAUUUGAACGCAUCUAAGUGGAAGAAGAGGUAACGAGCGCCACGUAUCAACGCUUCGAAUCCCCGUUCCAUGAAGUAAGAAAUUCAGGACCAACCGACUUUUUAGAAUUGUUAUAUCGGAUAAAAAUUGUGGAGCCCGCUCCUUAGAUCCACUGUCGGGGUCGCCACAGACCCGCUAGUCUUCGGACUGGUAUGAGGCAGUGCUUGAGUCAUUGGUGGGCUAGAGCAGCACACUGGCAUAGGCUCUGUGGGCUUGUAUAGCGAACGACCGAGUAUUUCACUCGGUUGUGGAAUUGCUACGCCCUUGUACCUCGGCCGGACAAUUAAAUGAUAUGUAGAAGGCCGUGUGUGAUUAUAAAAUGAAUGAUAUACGGAAGGCUGUGCGUGAUAUAAAUGUGGCGGUGUGCACUGUGCAUGUCAUACAUGUGAAUUGUGCUGAGUUGAAUUAUCACCUUACACCGCUAGUGAUGUGUUCAUAGACCAAUAACUAUUGAUAAUGAUUAUUUAUUACAGGUUGACGACCUUAAUUUCGAAAGAGCAAAUGGAACGAAGCAAUUAAAUCGAGAA